GCCUAAUACAUGCAAGUCGAGCGAAUGGAUUAAGAGCUUGCUCUUAUGAAGUUAGCGGCGGACGGGUGAGUAACACGUGGGUAACCUGCCCAUAAGACUGGGAUAACUCCGGGAAACCGGGGCUAAUACCGGAUAACAUUUUGAACCGCAUGGUUCGAAAUUGAAAGGCGGCUUCGGCUGUCACUUAUGGAUGGACCCGCGUCGCAUUAGCUAGUUGGUGAGGUAACGGCUCACCAAGGCAACGAUGCGUAGCCGACCUGAGAGGGUGAUCGGCCACACUGGGACUGAGACACGGCCCAGACUCCUACGGGAGGCAGCAGUAGGGAAUCUUCCGCAAUGGACGAAAGUCUGACGGAGCAACGCCGCGUGAGUGAUGAAGGCUUUCGGGUCGUAAAACUCUGUUGUUAGGGAAGAACAAGUGCUAGUUGAAUAAGCUGGCACCUUGACGGUACCUAACCAGAAAGCCACGGCUAACUACGUGCCAGCAGCCGCGGUAAUACGUAGGUGGCAAGCGUUAUCCGGAAUUAUUGGGCGUAAAGCGCGCGCAGGUGGUUUCUUAAGUCUGAUGUGAAAGCCCACGGCUCAACCGUGGAGGGUCAUUGGAAACUGGGAGACUUGAGUGCAGA
rnacentral:rRNA from 1 species